rnacentral:lncRNA from 1 species
AUAAUAAUUGGGAAAUGUUUUUUAUAUUCCAGGUACUACCAAAUCUUCAAUCUUCACAACAACUUCAUGACUUAAAUAUCUUUAUUCUUAUUUUACACAAGGGGAAAUUGAGGCAUUGAAAUAUUGAAAGUGGGUAAGGCAGAUGGUCAGCAUCAGUAGUUAGGCUUAGAUUCAACUGCCAGUAACAAGAUAAGCCAAAAUAACUGAGACUUGAAUAUGAUAAAAGCUUUCUCUUUGUUGAAAAGAUCUUGAGGCAAUCAGUCUAAAACUAAAUUGGCCCUACAUGAAGUCAGGGACAUGGCCUCUUCUAUGUUGUUGAUAUAUCAUUUCUGAGCCUAACUCAUUAACCAAGGUGGUUGCUGAUGUUCCAGCCAAUUUUCAAUACCUGUGACAUUCAGAAAAAUUAAGAGGACAAGAAAGGUAUGACUGUUUUCUUUCAGUUAAUGUCUCUGGACCAGAAUUUACACAGAGCACUUUGGCAUAUAUCUUUAGAACUCUAUUUGCUUGCUUAUGUCUAGGUCCAAAGAAGGCUCUGAAACAUUUAUAUUUAUAAAGUUUAGAAUUUGGGGAAAUUAAAUAUUAGGAAAGUCUCUUACCUUGAUUUUUCAGAUUAUAUUGGAUGAAAAGUAAACAGAGAGUAGUUAAGUUAUGAACUAUGACAGGGAAAAGAAGUGAAGCCAAGAAAGGAAGGAAAGGGAGGAUUGAAAUAUAAUGACUUGAAGAAAUUGAAGAGGAGGUACUGGCAGCAUGAAGGAGGAAGAGACAUAGCUCCUUGAGAUGGGGACUGUGUGAGAAGGAGAUACAGGAGUUGAAGAUUCAGGAGGUGGAGAAGUCCCAGCAAUGGUGGAAAGAAUACCUCCAAUAUUUUGCUGAUAUUAGUUAGAUGAAGAUACUUAGGGGCCAGGUUGUUAAAAUUUCAAAUGACUAGACCAAAAAUGCCUUAAUGAUUGUUAAGUGUGUAUAACAUGGUAGUGUUAACAAAAAUUUAGAAAACUGCUUCUUAUUACUGGGAUAAUGGUAAUAUACUAUUUCCUUUUGGACAAAUAAAUUAGAGUUUCUAUUUGCUAUACUCAGAUGACAUUUUGUUCAAAGUUGCAUGCCUUUCAAAUAAUGUUUCAGAUAACUGAAUCUCUUCAUUCAGUGCAAACUAUUUCAAUGGAAUGGUUUCUAAAAUGUGUUAAAAUUGCUUUCUUAAAAUAACACCCAUAUUUUAUGAUUGACAUUCAUUGUUAAAUAAAACUGUGGAUUGUUGUCCUACACUGAAAUAAAAUAUCUCAGCU